AGCAAGAACGCCGCGCCGGGAGGGAAAGACCCCUUCGCCAAGUUCGGCGACGAUUACCACACCCUGGAGCAGGUGACUGAUGCUCUUUCACAUAAUGGACUGGAGUCCUCAAAUCUAAUCGUUGGGAUUGAUUUCACCAAGAGCAACGAAUGGACAGGUAAAUUGUCCUUCAACAACCGGAGCUUGCAUGCAAUAGGGAAUACUCCAAACCCUUAUGAGCAGGCUAUAUCCAUUAUCGGGAGAACCCUCGCACGAUUUGAUGAGGACAAUCUGAUACCAUGCUUUGGAUUCGUUGAUGCUACUACUCAUGAUCAAAAGGUAUUUAGCUUCUAUCCUGAGAACGAACCGUGUGAUGGCUUUGAACAAGCACUUGGGCGAUACAGAGAAAUUGUUCCACAGCUUCGUUUGGCUGGUCCCACUUCAUUUGCACCUAUGAUUGAGACUGCUAUUGGUAUUGUUGAUAGUAGUGGUGGCCAGUACCAUGUUCUGCUCAUAAUAGCAGAUGGACAGGUUACACGCAGUGUUGACACUGGUAAUGGCCAGUUGAGCCCACAGGAAAGAGAAACUAUAGAUGCCAUUGUGAAAGCAAGUGACUACCCUUUGUCAAUUGUGCUUGUUGGAGUUGGUGAUGGGCCCUGGGAUAUGAUGAGGCAAUUUGAUGACAACAUUCCUUCUCGUGCAUUUGAUAAUUUUCAGUUUGUGAACUUCACAGAGAUCAUGUCAAGGCCUAUUCCUACUAGCAAAAAGGAGGCAGAAUUUGCUCUUUCAGCACUUAUGGAGAUCCCAGCCCAGUUCAAGGCAACAAUGAACCUCCAGCUUCUUGGCAAACGAAGAGGAUUUCCGCACCGAUCAGUGUUACCUCCACCUGUGAGGGUAUAUCAACAACCCUCUGGAUACUCAGCAGUCAAGCAGACUCAAUCGACUGGCACCGGCUAUGUGUCGCCACAGAAGAAUGCAUCAGCACCUCGACAGGACAGUGAUGUGGGUGAUCAGCAGACUUGUCCAAUCUGCUGGUCUGAAGCAAAGAACCUGGCUUUUGGAUGUGGGCACCAGACAUGCGCCGACUGCGGGAAAGAUCUGAAGGUUUGCCCCCUUUGCCAGAGGGCGAUCUCCACAAGGAUUAGGCUCUACUGA
rnacentral:rRNA from 1 species